UACGUAGGGGCCAAGCGUUGUCCGGAUUUAUUGGGCGUAAAGAGCUCGUAGGCGGUUGGGUAAGUCGGGUGUGAAAACUCCAGGCUCAACUUGGAGAUGCCACCCGAUACUGCUCUGACUUGAGUUCGGUAGGGGAGCGGGGAAUUCCUGGUGUAGCGGUGAAAUGCGCAGAUAUCAGGAGGAACACCGGUGGCGAAGGCGCCACUCUGGGCCGAAACUGACGCUGAGGAGCGAAAGCGUGGGUAGCAAACAGG
rnacentral:rRNA from 1 species